rnacentral:misc_RNA from 1 species
AACAUCGGCUAAUUGUCGACCUUCAUAGGCUCUCUAGUGAACACUCUCUUACUGAGAGAGGUUGCUCGACUCUAUGAAGCAGUGGUUCAGUGAGCAAGCAUUCCAUACGCGAUGUGGCUAUGCUUGUGACGACUCCCUCUCACUAUCGACUACUGACUGAGAUUAACGACAGUAUUGUGACUUGCAUACUCUAUGUGCUUGUCCUAUAGCAAUCAAUCGCUGAGAUUGAAUGCCUAGAAACUGUGCUCAGCAAUAGUAGUCAGGUGUCAGAACGUGUAUCUAUAUUU